AUGUUCUCUUACGGUUGGAUUUUCCUUACAGCAGAAGACAAUUCUUUGGAGUCAGAUCGACAAAAGCUUUCAAAAUAUUAUGUCUUGUCAGGGCAGUGCUAUCUUACAGAAGCACAGGAGGUAAAAAUGCUUGCACUUGUAAAGAAAAUUCGACCUGAAAUCCCGGUGCUUGUUGUCCAGAUGAAGAAGAGCAAUGUAAACAAUAGUCGUACUCUGGCAAUAUGUAAGGAUUACACACUCGAGCACUUGCCAUGCGGAGAAACAGUUAUCAUACUCCAGCUGCCUAGGAAAAACAAGGUUUGGAAGUGCAAACUCUAUAACAGGCCAUCUAGAACGUCUGACGCUGGUCGGCGCAACCUUUAUUUGGGGAACUUUGUCCGUGACAAUCCUGUCAGAGAAGGCGAUAUCUGCCUCUUUCAACCAAUGACAAAUGUUAAGCAGAAAAGAUUCACAAUGACUGUCCAUCUCCUUAGCAAAACGAGCGUUAAUCAUUCCCCUGGUGCAAGAAAUGGCAUUGGCUCAAAUCAUGGAAGGACAAGCACAAAAAAGGCAGGUGAUGUGGAGGAACCACCUACCGAUGGUAUGUCAGCUUGA
rnacentral:rRNA from 1 species